CAAUAGCGUAUAUUAAAGCUGUUGCGGUUAAAAAGCUCGUAGUUGGAUUUCUGUCAAGGACAACUGGUCCGCCCUCCGGGUGAGCACAUAGUUUGGUCUUGGCAUCUUGCUGGAAACUGUUGCUGCGCUUGGUUGUGUGGUGCAGCUUUCAGCACUUUCACUUUGAGGAAAUUGGAGUGUUUCAAGCAGGCACAUGCCUUUGGACACAGUAGCAUGGAAUAAUUAGAUUGGGCUUUUGCUCCAACUUGUUGGUUCCUGGAGCUGAGGUGAGAAUCAAUGGGGAUUGUUGGGGGCAUCCGAAUUUAGCCGUCAGAGGUGAAAUUCUUGGAUCUGCUAAAGACGGACAACUGCGAAANCGNNNGCCCAGGAUGUUUNCAUNGA
rnacentral:rRNA from 1 species